rnacentral:tRNA from 1 species
UGAGAUAUAGCUCAGUGGUAGACCACUUGCUUAGCAUGCAAGAGUUUCUAGGUUUGCUCCCUAGUACUAUAG